rnacentral:rRNA from 1 species
GAUAAACGCUGGCGGCGUGCUUUAUGCAUGCAAGUCGAACGGCCAAUCCCGCAAGGGAAAGAUAGUGGCAAACGGGUGAGUAAUACGUAGGUAACCUACCCCUAAGUGGGGGAUAACUUCGGGAAACUGAGGCUAAUACCGCAUGUGGUUCAUGACUUAAUGUUAUGAACUAAAAUCGCAAGAUGCUUGGGGAGGGGCCUGCGUCCGAUUAGCUAGUUGGUGGGGUAACGGCCUACCAAGGCGAAGAUCGGUAGCUGGGCUGAGAGGAUAUCCAGCCACACGGGGACUGAGACACGGCCCCGACUCCUACGGGAGGCAGCAACAAGGAAUUUUGCGCAAUGGGCGAAAGCCUGACGCAGCCACGCCGCGUGGAUGAUGAAGGUCUUAGGAUUGUAAAAUCCUUUCACCGGUGAAGAUAAUGACUGUAGCCGGAGAAGAAGCCCCGGCUAACUUCGUGCCAGCCGCCGCCGUAAGAC